ACCCGUUUGGGGUGGGCAGCGAGCGCGUUCCCUGCGCGCUCAGGCCGUGGGACGCGGCAGCUGGUGCGUCUCCUUCUUCAGACAGGCGUCUCUGGAGCCGGGCUGGUGUCAGGCAGGCUGUCGAAGGCAAGGCAUGUGGAACCUGUGGAGGCCUGACCCAGAGGGACAGGCGUGUGGUCUUGGCGGUGAGUGGGGCCUGCGGGGAAAGCCGAAUGGGGAAUGUAAGGGGAGAGGUAGGCGGCCCAGCCGCAGCCCUGGGUUGGGGUGGGGUGGGCCGCCCAGUGGGAUGUGCAACCUGGCGGGCCCUCGCCUGGCCUUCCUGGGGCUGGUGCAUGUGGCGGGUGUUAGCUGGGCGAGAGCAGCGCCUGGCUGGCAGGUGCGAGUGCCAAAGAGCUCAGGGCUCACCGGGUGGCAGGGCAAGGAGCAGAGGGCCGAGCGGGAGGGGACGGUGAUGGUGGCAGGAGUGCUGGGUCCUGGGUGGGUGAGCCAGGUACUUUUGGGCGUGUGUUACCUGAUGCUGCAAGAGCGAGGGGGUGUUUUUCUUUCGGUAGCUCAGCUGGUAGAGCAGAGGACUGUAGAGCGUUGGGCAAGACAUCCUUAGGUGGCUGAUUCGAGUCCGGCUCGAAGGAAUGCCUCCCUUUUGGGGCUUGCAUAGGAAAGCUCUGCACCUGAGGGUGGCAGGGGCAGCUUGCGUGGAAGGUGAGCGCUGCUGAGUUGUGCAAGGGCACACCAAAAGGGCCUACUGCCUGCCUGGGAGGCGCUGCCCCUGCGAAAAAGUCUUCCUCUCUGCGAGCGCAAGGGGAUUAGGCAGCAGGGGUGAGGCUGGCCCACGGGUGGCCAGGAAGCAAAGGGGGAGCAGGCUUGGGUAGCCAGCAGCAGCCAAAGGAAGACCCGAGGGCUGCCGAAGCCCGGGAUCGAUCCAGGGACCUUUAGAUCUUCAGUCUAACGCUCUCCCAACUGAGCUACUCCGGCUGCCGGGGGGCCUGUGGUGGCUCUGGCUGGGCCUUCCUCCCCAGGCCCUGAGCCCAAGGUGGAAGGCUGGGCUUGGGGCUCUGGGCUGCAGGCGCCUGGGCCUCUUGCCUGGCUCCGGGACCUGCGGCUGCUUGGCCAGUGCCCGUGCUUGACAAGGGGAGCCAAGAAGUGGCAAGGCCUGUGGCACAAUUGCCACCGUCUGUGUCCCUCUCCAGAAAUCUGUCUCUGCCAGCGUGAGAGGCUGGUGUUGAAUUCCUCAGGGCGGGGGAUCACAAAAGCCUGGUGCCUCCGAAGAGGAUUCUCUGGUCGGUGGGGAGGGGGAGGGAAAAAGCCCCUUCAGGGGCCCAGGUGACCCGUGAUGCUUUGUAAGUUGGUUGGCUAGUGGCCAGCACUGGCAGCUUCGAUUGGCCCGGGCUGCUGAGGUCAGAAAGGUUAUUUAAAGGCCCGGUCCAGGAAGAAGGCAGCCAUUAGCCAUGCGGUCAUCGAGAUGCAUCUGAAACUGGCAGAGGAGCUUCACCAUCUGAAACUGGCUUUCUCCUCAAAGAGUGACCUGCCUCCAGAGCAAAACUGCAACCAGCUCUGGAUGAUGCGGGGCCUGCCAAUGGCACAGGAGACGAGCUCGGAGAGCAAUUUGUUUGCUACCUUGUGGGCGUUUUGGAUCAGCCCUGAGAGGGAGCCUGGCUGAGUCCCCCAAAACAUCUGCUGAGGUGAGUGGGACGCAGCCCUGUGGCAAGGAUUGCAGGGUCUAAACAGAAAUGCUUUGUUUGUGAAGUUACAAAAUGCAGCAAUUGAGCACCCUGCAGGCUAAGUACCCCCACUUCAGGCUGGAAAGGUGCCAUGAAUACAUCCCACGGCAUCCAGCUAGCAGAUACUUAAGAUGCUUCUGGGGGCUGUACCAUGGCAGUACCCAAGCCCUCCCAGGAAAAGGAUUUUGGACAGACGACCUCCUGGUGCCCUCCCGAGGGCAUGAACCAAGGAUGAUGCCAUGUCUGGGAAGAAGCCAGGGCAGGCAGAGACAGGAAAAACUUGGAGUCCUGGUCAGCUUCGACCCACUGGGAAGGGGAGGAUCCAGCAUGUCUUGGAGUCAUUGCAAAAGAUUCCAGGCAAGAACUGUGCAGCUUGGUGCAGCAUCCGAAAUCUGCUUUCUAUGCCACUAAAGAUGAUUCUACGGCUGUACUAUGGCAGUUCCCACGCCUCUCUGGGAACACGGACUGUGACCCGCGACCCCCAGCUCUCUCCUGGACCUGGUCUGCAGGACAUCAAGCAUGAAGGAGUGGAUGUGGGGGCUGUAUGAUGUAGGGCAGAAAAUCAGCACCAGAAAGCUACUCCCUCUGUUCUACCCCUUCCCUCUCCAGCCCUCACCACCCUCCCUGCCUCUCCUUUCCCCCUAUAUAUUAUGUUAGGUUAGGCUAGGUUAAGUUAUAUUAUAUUGUUUUAUUUCCUAUUA